rnacentral:rRNA from 1 species
UCUCCUACGGGGGGCAGCAGUAGGGAAUUUUCGUCAAUGGGCGCAAGCCUGAACGAGCGAUGCCGCGUGAGUGAAGAAGGCCUUCGGGUCGUAAAGCUCUGUUGCGGGGGAAAAAAGGUAGCAUCAGGAAAUGGGUGCUGACUGAUGGUGCCCCGCCAGAAAGUCACGGCUAACUACGUGCCAGCAGCCGCGGUAAUACGGAGGAUGCGAGCGUUAUCCGGAUUUAUUGGGUUUAAAGGGUGCGCAGGCGGCGUGUCAAGCGAGCGGUAAAAUAGCGGGGCUCAACCCCGUCGAGCCGUUUGAAC